rnacentral:rRNA from 1 species
AUUGAACGCUGGCGGCAGGCUUAACACAUGCAAGUCGAGCGGUAGCACAGGGGAGCUUGCUCCCUGGGUGACGAGCGGCGGACGGGUGAGUAAUGUCUGGGAAACUGCCUGAUGGAGGGGGAUAACUACUGGAAACGGUAGCUAAUACCGCAUAACGUCGCAAGACCAAAGAGGGGGACCUUCGGGCCUCUUGCCAUCAGAUGUGCCCAGAUGGGAUUAGCUAGUAGGUGGGGUAAUGGCUCACCUAGGCGACGAUCCCCAGCUGGUCUGAGAGGAUGACCAGCCACACUGGAACUGAGACACGGUCCAGACUCCUACGGGAGGCAGCAGUGGGGAAUAUUGCACAAUGGGCGCAAGCCUGAUGCAGCCAUGCCGCGUGUGUGAAGAAGGCCUUCGGGUUGUAAAGCACUUUCAGCGAGGAGGAAGGUGGUGAGCUUAAUACGUUCAUCAAUUGACGUUACUCGCAGAAGAAGCACCGGCUAACUCCGUG